ACAGAAGUACCCCCUUACCUGUGGUUUCCCUUUAUGAAGUUUCAGUUACCUGUGGGCAUCCAUCACCCUGAAGCAGGCAUUUUACCAUCUCACAUCAUCACAAGAAGCUGGGUGACUAUGGGACAAUUGGACAUUUUGAGAUGUUUGUUUCUUCAAUGAUUGUUCACUGUCUAUGAGGUCUAAUGUUCAACUCCAUCCCCAGCUUUGUUGUUAUAUGUAUGAAAAGGUAAGGGUAGUAGUGAUAUUCACAUGAAUUUAAUAAAAUGUAACUGACUUGAACAACUAACAUUCACAUUACAACACCUAAGAAUAUUAUGCAGAAAAAAAAGAACAUUAUGCAGUGGAAAAUUGGAGAAAAUAUAAUUUUAUUUCCUGUAUGUCAAGAAAAAUAAAAAAGAUUUCAAGUUGAAAUGCUAUAUAGCCAAACUCUAUGAUUUAAACCAUGUUUUAUAAUAUUGCCUAGAAGUACAACUUUCUUCCAAAAUGCAUAUAUUACCUUGUUCACUGGAUGAAAUUUUAGGUACCUACCCAGAAAGAAUAGAACUGUCAUUACAGUGAAUGGAAUACCAUUUGGCAACUCUACUUAGUGUUACCUUUUCUUAUACUACUUUUUUACCGUGAUGCAUUGUUUCUUCUUCUGUAAUUGUUCAGCAUUUCAGCAUGUAAGUCUGAAUUGUGGGAAAAUGUCAGAGUGUGAAAGUGUGACUGUCUCUGUACAUUAUUAGUCUGCAUCUAUUACACAGAUGUCGAUCAUGCUGUCAUCCCACAGGGGCACGCCAACUGAAAAUUUCCCUCUGCUUCAGUUUUUAUGUAAGAAAAAGUAUGUUAUGCAAAAUGAAGAACUGGCAGUCAAGAGGCUGGCGAUAUGUGAUAUGAUAUUCUCUCAUGAUGCUGGACAGUGGCAUUCAGCCAAAGCUACCAGUCAGCCACACAAUCAUGAGGGGAAACAGCUAAUACACUUACAGUGCCUGCCAGCUCCAGAAGCCCCAGAUGGCACCCUCAGCACCAGGUUCCCCUGGUGGGCUCCUACAGACCCAGG